rnacentral:rRNA from 1 species
ACUCAAAGGAAUUGACGGGGGCCCGCACAAGCGGCGGAGCAUGCGGAUUAAUUCGAUGCAACGCGAAGAACCUUACCUGGGUUUGACAUCACUCAAAAACUCGCAGAGAUGCGGGGUCCUUCGGGGUGGGUGACAGGUGGUGCAUGGCUGUCGUCAGCUCGUGUCGUGAGAUGUUGGGUUAAGUCCCGCAACGAGCGCAACCCUUGUCCCAUGUUGCCAGCAUUCGGUUGGGGACUCAUGGGAGACUGCCGGGGUCAACUCGGAGGAAGGUGGGGAUGACGUCAAGUCAUCAUGCCCCUUAUGUCCAGGGCUUCACGCAUGCUACAAUGGCCGGUACAAACCGUGGCGAGCCCGUGAGGGGGAGCGAAUCGGAAAAAGCCGGUCUCAGUUCGGAUCGGGGUCUGCAACUCGACCCCGUGAAGUCGGAGUCGCUAGUAAUCGCAGAUCAGCAGUGCUGCGGUGAAUACGUUCCCGGGCCUUGUACACACCGCCCGU